CCUACUUUCAUUUUCAGGCAGAUCUGGGACAUACCUCCUUCGUCAGACCUGCAGACCCAGUGAAGAGAAGGGUGUCCUCUGCUGACACCAAGUUCCAGGAUCUGGAGGCCACUGCUCCUUCAACCUUCAAACCCCUCAGCCCCAUCUGACCAUGCCAACCUCUGAGAAAUGUGCCUGAGAAUUCAAUAAUCAGCAGCUGGUUGCUCUGGCAACACUUCAGAUGGUUCAGGAGAGAGGAGGGCAAUUCCCAAAGUGCUCCUGGUUGCUCCAGCACCAUCCAAGGGAGAUCUCAGACAAGCCAACACAGGAGGCUGGGGAAGAUCAGAACACUCUAAAAACGCAGUGGGGAUGGGAACACAGGCCACAAACCCUAACCUUGGGCAAAGGGAGAUAACCUGGCUUUCAGGAAGAAAGUCUCCAUGGUUUCAGAGAUGUUAGGAAUCCAUAUCUCAGCACUUCCUGAAGAACUGACAACCCUCUAUAAAACAUGGGUGGAGGGGCUGCAUUUCUCCUUUUUUGGUACCAGGGAUUGAACCUAGCAGUGCUUAACCACUGUGCCACAUCCCCAGCCCUUUUAUAUUUUAUUUAGGGAUAGGGUCUCACUGAGUUGCUUAGGGCCUCACUAAAUUGCUGGGGCUGGCUUUGAACUCCAGAUCCUCCUGCCUCUGCCUCCUGAGUUGCUGGGAUUACAGGUUUGUGCCACCAUAACUGGCUUCAUUUCUUUAUUUUAAGAAGUUUCUAAUGUGAAUACUGCAGGAAGAGGCUUCAAAAAGCCAGGCUUUGAGUCCCAGUUGGGUGGCCCUGGAAAUGUUACUGAAUUUCUCUGAUCUUCUUGAAGAAUACAGAGGAUGCUUCCUGCACUGCCACAGGAAACAAAGACACGAGUAUCUAGCACAGUGCUGGGUAUAUAAUAAGCAUCAAGAGCCAGUAGUCUUAGGCAUUAUUAUCAGGCUGGUACCCCAGCAGCUGCUGCCAGCACCCUUCUCUUUUGCUGCUGCCUGGGCCCAGAGAGACAGAUGAACUACUCUGAAAUAGCACCGACUGACAGAUCUAGGGACCCCACAAGGAAUCUCCAGGUAACCCCACACAUCCUUAUGUCUGCAAAUACUUUCUAGCAGCCACAUUUUUAAAAUGUGAAAAGAAGAAAAUUUGAGAUUAUAUAUCUCAUGUGUUUUUAAUUUAUAUUGGAUAGAUCAAAAAUAUUUUUUCAAUAUGAGUGUUUCCCACACCUAAUGGCAGACCUGAAUUUGGCCCAGCCAUGAUUUGAUUCAGAGCUCAAUGACCUCAAGGGGCUACCAGGACUACAGUUGACAGCCCAGGUCUAAAAGGGGCUGGGUGUGCCUUUCCCCCCUGGGAGAGAGGAGGCUCAAGUGUGGUAGAAGGAGGAGCCUGGGCUUGUGUUUACGAUACUUCCCUCCCCCAGGGAUACCAAUAACGUUUUCUGCAAUAACC
rnacentral:lncRNA from 1 species